AAGUCGUAACAAGGUUUCCGUAGGUGAACCUGCGGAAGGAUCAUUAACCGAGUUCUCCCUGCUCCUGCCAGGAACUUCCCACCCUUAGAUUAUCCUAUGAGCGUUGCUUCGGCGCAGACGCUGGAAACAGCCAUUGACCUCUCACGUCGAUAGCGAUGACUUCGCCGGAGUUUCAUACUCUACAUUAUGUGUCGUCAGAGAAUCAAAAAUCUAAAAAA
rnacentral:misc_RNA from 1 species